rnacentral:rRNA from 1 species
CGGACGGGUGAGUAAUGCCUAGGAAUCUGCCUGGUAGUGGGGGACAACGUUUCGAAAGGAACGCUAAUACCGCAUACGUCCUACGGGAGAAAGCAGGGGACCUUCGGGCCUUGCGCUAUCAGAUGAGCCUAGGUCGGAUUAGCUAGUUGGUGAGGUAAUGGCUCACCAAGGCGACGAUCCGUAACUGGUCUGAGAGGAUGAUCAGUAACACUGGAACUGAGACACGGUCCAG